rnacentral:rRNA from 1 species
AGAUUGAACGCUGGCGGCGUGCUUAACACAUGCAAGUCGAGCGGUAACGCGGGAGCAAUCCUGGCGACGAGCGGCGAACGGGUGAGUAAUGCUUGGGAAUCUGCCCAUUAGUGGGGAACAACCAGCCGAAAGGUUGGCUAAUACCGCAUACGCCCUACGGGGGAAAGCGGGGGAUCGUAAGACCUCGCGCUAAUGGAUGAGCCCAAGUCGGAUUAGCUUGUUGGUAGGGUAACGGCCUACCAAGGCGACAAUCCGUAGCUGGUCUGAGAGGACGACCAGCCACACUGGGACUGAGACACGGCCCAGACUCCUACGGGAGGCAGCAGUGGGGGAAUAUUGGACAAUGGGGGAAACCCUGAUCCAGCGACGCCGCGUGUGUGAAGAAGGCCUGCGGGUUGUAAAGCACUUUUAGUGGGGAUGAAAAGCCUAGGGUUAACACCUCUGGGUCUUGACCUAACCACAGAAAAGCACCGGCUAACUCUGCGCCAGCAGCCGCGGU